rnacentral:lncRNA from 1 species
CGGGCGCCGCAGCGCCGACGACGACGGGCGGCGCCGGUGCGGCGGCCAGGCCGCAGAGGCCGGUCCCGCGGGGGCUGUAGAUCCUGGUGGUGGUAGUGCGCUGCAUCGCGGUUGUGUGUGUGUGUGUGUGUCGCGGACGGCCUUUUUACUCUGCCCGUUCGCGUCUAUCCGGCCGUGGACGCAUGUAUGAGCGGCGACGGCAGGCACGCGGGAGGGGGGAGGCGCCAGAGCCGAGCAGACGACGCAAGAGUCGUCACGCACGCGCGCACGCACCCGUCCACGCCCAAACCCGGCAGUCGCCCGACGCGCGGCAGAGCGCCGAGAGACCGCCCAGAGAGAAUCAUGAAAAAAAAGGGCGCGCCAGAUCAACACGCCCACGGCCAAAACACACACCACACACACACACACACACAAAUAUAUUUGUUUGUACACACGCGCCACAGGCACACACACACACACACACACACACACACACACACACACACAAAACACAAACCAGCGUCCAGAGGGAAUCGCACAAACAAAAGGAAAAAAAAAUAAAGAGAACCCCACCAAUAACAACGAGAUGCGUCACAUUGUCAGAAGAGGAAAAAAAAAAGAAAAAGAACAGGCGGCAGCGGAACAGGUGGUAAUGUCGCCCGGGGGAGCGGGCUGGUCGUACCGUGUCUUCCUUUUCUUUUCUGCAUUUUGGCCCGCCGAGACGAAAAGGUUUGGGAAAAGAAAAGGUGAGCCGGUAAAGAAAAAAAGGAAAGGGAGGCGGGGGCAAACAAAAGAGGCGCGCUGGGCACGGCAAACCUGACGACAGCAGCAAAGGCGAUGACGGCGGCAGCGGAGUCACCAGCGGUUUAAGGAGGGACCCGACGGAAAGCGCCCUCGGGCACACCACGACAUGUCUCGGCACGCACCCGCGCGCGCGCGCACAUACAAAUCCACCGACCGGGGGUGCGAGCACAUUGCCGGGUCUGCGCUCUUUCGUGGGCGGGGCGUGUGCAACCUGUGCCUCGGCGGCUCGUCGUCCUCGCAAAGAAAAAAAAGAAGAGGAAAAAAAAAGAGACGGACCAAGGGGCGCGCCCGCACUAAACCGGUCCCUCUUGCGUAAACAGCAC